rnacentral:rRNA from 1 species
UGGUGCCAGCAGCCGCGGUAAUUCCAGCUCCAAUAGCGUAUAUUAAAGUUGCUGCAGUUAAAAAGCUCGUAGUUGAGUUUCGGGGUUAGUAAGUUGGUCAUGCCUCCGGUAUGCACUGGCUUUACUGAUUCCUCCUUCUUGAUGAACUGUAAUGUCAUUAAUUUGGUGUUGCAGGGAAUCAGGACUGUUACUUUGAAAAAAUUAGAGUGUUUAAAGCAGGCAUACGCUUGAAUACAUUAGCAUGGAAUAAUGAAAUAGGACGUUUGAUCCUAUUUUGUUGGUUUCUAGGAUUGACGUAAUGAUUAAUAGGGAUAGUUGGGGGCAUUAGUAUUCAAUUGUCAGAGGUGAAAUUCUUGGAUUUAUUGAAGACUAACUACUGCGAAAGCAUUUGCCAAGGAUGUUUUCAUUAAUCAAGAACGAAAGUUAGGGGAUCGAAGACGGUCAGAUACCGUCGUAGUCUUAACCAUAAACUAUGCCGACUAGGGA